GAGUUUGAUCAUGGCUCAGAUUGAACGCUGGCGGCAUGCCUUACACAUGCAAGUCGAACGGCAGCACGGGAGCUUGCUCCUGGUGGCGAGUGGCGAACGGGUGAGUAAUGCAUCGGAACGUAUCCUGGAGUGGGGGAUAACGUAGCGAAAGUUACGCUAAUACCGCAUAUUCUGUGAGCAGGAAAGCGGGGGACCUUCGGGCCUCGCGCUCUUGGAGCGGCCGAUGUCGGAUUAGCUAGUUGGUGAGGUAAAGGCUCACCAAGGCGACGAUCCGUAGCAGGUCUGAGAGGAUGAUCUGCCACACUGGAACUGAGACACGGUCCAGACUCCUACGGGAGGCAGCAGUGGGGGAAUUUUGGACAAUGGGGGCAACCCUGAUCCAGCCAUGCCGCGUGAGUGAAG
rnacentral:rRNA from 1 species